UGUCUCUCCUUCAAACGCAAAUUCAACCCCUAAACAAAUCUCUAUCUCCUUCAAACGCUGUCUCUGUCUCUCUUCCCCUGCGACGGUAAACGAAUUCAACUAAGCUACAAACGCUUUGCCUCACAACCAACGGCUACAGGGCAGCCAAGUAGGUGAAUUUACAGGACAAGUCUGGAACUUUGGUAGAAGAAAGGGUGGUGAAAAUGGACAAAUAUAGCCAAGGCUUUGUGGUUGAGUUUCUAUUUCCUUUGAUAAUUUUGAGAAGCUGCCAAGGCUUUGUUAUUUAUAGCUCCUGACAGCGAUUAUAUCUCCACAGCUAUACAGUUCAUCAAUAAGGCAAGGCCAUGGAUUACAUUGAGGUCAUUGGCUGGGAAUAUGGUGCAAACAUGUUGACGAAGUACUUGGCAGAAGCUGGAGAGAAUACAUCGCUUACAGCUGCCAUGUGCAUAGACAAUCCAUUUGACUUAGAGGAGGCUACAAGGUCCUUUCCUUAUCACAUGGCCAUUGGUCAGAAGUUCACUGUUGGACUAAUAGAUAUUCUAAGAUCUAAUAAGGAAACCCCCAAAUCAAAAACCGUAGCCCCUUUCUAUCAAAAAAGAAAAAAAGAAGAAGAAGAAGGAAAACAAUAGCUUCUCAUCCGUUUCUCUCUCCAGUCUCUAUGCUUCGCCUUUAGUGCACCUUCUCCUUUUUCUAUGCUCCUAAUGAUGAAUUGGGAUUGAAGGGAGCAAAAUCAAGAUGCCGUGGACGUCCUCUUUUGAUUCAAAUUCAUAAAAGCUUCCUUACUCUCUUUCUCUCUCCAUGUGGCAUGAGGUCAAAUAUUUGCUUUCUCUGUUCUAAAUAACAAUUUAUAGAACUCAAUGUUUUAUGUUAAAUAAAUAUAUGAUGUACUCUUCUAUAUAAUGCAGAUUUGUUGUAUUAUGUUCUUUCUCUACUCUUUUUGAGUCAUAGCAAAAGAAUUUGACAUUAGUAACUAUAUUCUAUUUAUUUAUUAUGAAAAUAAGAUUGUGAUCAUUAUUGCAAUUUUUUUAUUUGUUUAUUCAUAGAAUAUAUGUAACUAUGAAAAUAUCUUCAUUGCCAAUGGAUCUAUGGUAGUGGUAUUAAUCUUUUCGGCAUGUAUGUAUUUUUAUGGAGCUAAUAUACAGGAUUUCUUUUAUUGGGCACAAGCAUAUUGUG